AGACAGUCGCUGGUACUUAUGUAUUAGAGGAAAGUCCAUGCUCGCACUACCUGCGAUGGUAGUAGUGUUUGUGCUAAUCGAAAAAAUAAGAUUAGGCAUUGUUAUACAAUGACGGCGGAGCUAAGACCUAAAGGUUUACCCAUGGUUAAGGCCCUUAAGGUGUCACAGUGACGUAGCUGGUUUGGAAACAAAUCAGGUGGAACGAGAUAAACCCCUCAAGCGAGAAACCCAAAUUUGGUAGGGGAACUAGAAGAAGCGAAUUGAAGCAGAUUCUGGCUGGAAACAGAGAUAAAUGACUGUCACGCAUUUGCGAACAGAACAUGGCUUAU
rnacentral:RNase_P_RNA from 1 species